rnacentral:rRNA from 1 species
UACGUAGGGUGCAGGCGUUAAUCGGAAUUACUGGGCGUAAAGCGUGCGCAGGCGGUUUGCUAAGACAGGUGUGAAAUCCCCGGGCUUAACCUGGGAACUGCGCUUGUUACUGGCAAGCUGGAGUGUGGCAGAGGGGGGUGGAAUUCCACGUAUAGCAGUGAAAUGCGUAGAGAUGUGGAGGAACACCGAUGGCGAAGGCAGCCCCCUGGGCUAACACUGACGCUCAUGCACGAAAGCGUGGGGAGCAAACAGG